UAAUAGAGUACUCUAAUAUCUAAUACUCUAAUAUCUAUGGCUAUAUGGCGCUACCUAGCAACUAAACUCAGUAGUCAGUAAACUGACCUACAAAAUUAAUGUCCUCCUCCAGAACAAAAGGCAAAGAAGAGAGUUUGAGAUCAAAGAAGCCACUGGAUGGGAGACGAGAGCAGAAGAAGAAAGGAAUGGACGAUACCAGCUUAAACAAGAAGGGAUCACUACUACUAGUAGUCUAGUACUACUCAGUCAAAAUCAUCCAAACCCUCCCAACCUCUCAACCCACUAGUAUCAAAACCAAUUCAACCUCAGAGACACUCUACUACAGAAACCAGGCCCUCUCCUAAACAGCAGCACAGAUCCCCCACUACUAAACUAAAAGCAGAUACCAAACCUCAUUCACCAGUAGCUAGUAGUCUUGUCUUAUUCUUCAAAGGAUCAUAAGUACUCACCUAAAUCUACAUUCUACAUUAUAGAUCUACAUUCCCCCAAAUUGCCCAGUUCCUGUUCUUCCAAAAACUCAAACUCUUAUUCUUCAGAGUCGAGUUACUAAAGAGACUCAUAGACGAGGGGCCACUGAUAGACGAAAAGGGAAAAGAGGAGUUCAGAGUACUUUGUGUUAAGUUUCAGUCUGAUUUACCGUCAGAAGAGUCCUUACAGUAUCGUCCAACUCAAGGAUGUGAUACCUCAAGUGGUGCUCUUGUUCCUACUAAAGACUAUCUUCAUUCAUUGGAGAAUAAUCUAUUAGGAUUGGUACACCAUCUACAAUAUAGGACUGCCAAUGAUACACAGAAAGAAGUAGAUACAAUGUCUCACUGGCUCCGUCACAUUGCAGAGGGAGAGCCUUGUGAUACUUACCUUAAACUAUCAUCAGGUGAUCUGGCUAGAACCUCUGAGAUGAUAGAGACACAGCGGAGUACCUUUGACAGGGAUGAUGCUCUCUGUGUCCAGAACCUUCAAUCUAUUGCUGACUACACAUGUAUAUUCACUCAGCAGUGGAUUUAUUGACAAGAGUAGAGGAAGCUGUUGAGAGGUUCUUGUAUUGGGUCAAAGAAGUAAUGAUAUAUGAAGCAGUUACUUCAAGUCCCAGUAGUCAUGAUGUCCCAGUCACUGGUGGAGUAGCAUAUGAAGUGUUUGAUGACAAUGGAGUGAGUAGUAUCAAUGGUAGCAGUACCAGAGGAGGAGGGAAUACUAGCAGCUGUCAAGAGAUGAGUCAACACCAGAUACUACUAAGGCUCAUGGUGGUAAUUGCUUGUCACCCUCAAGGAGGAACAUUGGUCUUGAUGAUUCUGUUAGUGAGAAGUGGGCUCAAGCUAGCAGCCACUGCUCAGAUGCCAAAGAAUAUCUUGAGAUGAUUUGUAGAGAUUUAUCCGAUGAACUGGCACAAUUUGAUCUAAGGAAGGAACAAAAAUUGAGACAAGUUUUCGUUGAUCUUGCUGCUGGACAAAUAGAGUAAAAUGAUAAAGUGAAUUUUUUAUAUUAAGAACUGUACGCGAUCCUCCAUAGUGAAUUUUCAUGUAAAUACAGUUUGUCUCUAUUUAGCACAACAACAACAACAGGAGGAGGAGGAGGAGGAGGAGGUGACAACAAGUGAAGAUUGUUCCUCCUUCAAGAAA